rnacentral:rRNA from 1 species
CCUACGGGUGGCUGCAGUAGGGAAUAUUGGACAAUGGGUGCGAGCCUGAUCCAGCCAUGCCGCGUGCAGGAAGAAGGCGUUAUGCGUUGUAAACUGCUUUUGCCAGGGGAUAAAAUAACUGUGCGCAGUUGAUUGAAGGUACCUGGUGAAUAAGCCACGGCUAACUACGUGCCAGCAGCCGCGGUAAUACGUAGGUGGCACGGGUGGUCCGGGUGUAAAGGGUUUAAAGGGUGCGUUGUCGGCCAUUGGUGAAAUAUCUCAGCUUAACUGAGAGGGUGCCAUUGAUACUGCGGGGCUUGAGUACAGAUGAGGUAGGCGGAAUUGACGGUGUAGCGGUGAAAUGCAUAGAUAUCGUCAAGAACACCGAUAGCGAAGGCAGCUUACCAAGCUGUAACUGACGCUGAGGCACGAAAGUGUGGGGAUCAAACAGGAUUAGAUACCCGAGUAGUC